rnacentral:misc_RNA from 1 species
UCCAUUUUAGAAUGGCAGUACUAUUAUAAGAAAAUAAUAGGAGGGGUUUCGCUCGUUAGAGAAAUGAAUCCAACAUCAUGAAACACGAGCUGACGGCAGCCAUGCAGCAUCGGAUCUAGAAUGGAGAGAAAUCUCCGAGUGUCUAGAACCAGGCUAGGUAAGGUUCCUCGCGGAGUGUCGAAUUAAACCACAUGCUCCUCCGGAUGGACUUUAGGAACCGUCAAAUAUUUUGAAUUUUAAUCUUGCGAUCGUAGUACUCAGGCGGAACACUUAACGAGUUAUCUACAACACAAAGCUAAGCCUUGUAUUUAGUGUUCACCGUUUACUGCUUGGACUAC